rnacentral:rRNA from 1 species
AUGAACGCUGGCGGCGUGCCUAAUACCUGCAAGUCGAGCGCACGGACGAGAAGCUUGCUUCUCUGAUGUUAGCGGCGGACGGGUGAGUAACACGUGGAUAACCUACCUAUAAGACUGAGAUAACUUCGGGAAACCGGAGCUAAUACCGGAUGAUAUUUUGAACCGCAUGGUUCAAAAGUGAAAGACGGUCUUGCUGUCACUUAUAGAUGGAUCCGCGCUGCAUUAGCUAGUUGGUAAGGUAACGGCUUACCAAGGCAACGAUGCAUAGCCGACCUGAGAGGGUGAUCGGCCACACUGGAACUGAGACACGGUCCAGACUCCUACGGGAGGCAGCAGUAGGGAAUCUUCCGCAAUGGGCGAAAGCCUGACGGAGCAACGCCGAGUGAGUGAUGAAGGUCUUCGGAUCGUAAAACUCUGUUAUUAGGGAAGAACAUAUGUGUAAGUAACUGUGCACAUCUUGACGGUACCUAAUCAGAAAGCCACGGCUAACUACGUG